rnacentral:lncRNA from 1 species
UGCAGCGGAAUUAAAACGUAAGUCUGAUUAAUAAAACAAUUCAGUUUAAUCACAUAUUAACAAAUAAUAACCUAAAUUUUGUAACCUAUACUGAAUGACAUGCAUCUAACAAUUAAAUUAAAAUUAAAUUUCCAAACCACGAUUCAUAAUAAAAGAAAACGGAAAAUAACUCUACCUCUUAAUAAAUUAAAAAUAAUAACAUUAAUGAAAAUAAAUAUGAAACAAAAGCUGAGACCCUUCAAGUUUCAUGUCUAUAUCCUAGCCUGAAAGAUUAUGUGUAAAGAUGGAAAUUAGGGGGAAUGAGCUAUGGAAGCUCAAUGUGAGUCCCUUUAGAAUAAACUAAAUCAUACAAUUAUAUUUUUAAACUUUAAAUAACAUAGUACAUCGUUACCAAGAAUAACAAUCGGUUAUAAAUAUCUAUCAAUUUCAAAUAUGGUAAUUCAGUGUUGCUACUUUAGUCAAACAAUAAUAAUACUCUCAAACAUAGACAAUCAAUUGAAUCAAUUUCAGAGUUAUUUAUAUUGUUCACAAAAGAUAUAUGCACAUAAAUCAGAUCAAUCAUUUCAUCAAGUAAAUUCAAUCAUGUAUGCAUAAAUAGUCAAAUAUGCCAUACAAAAAAUCGGUUGUCCUACCCCCAACCACUAGUGCUCUAAAAUUGGGAGUUCCCCCUAACUCCCUCCACCAUCACUCCAAUUUGUGGACUUAAUACUACAUUCGAAUUCGGGUAAUUGCAAAUAAAAGUUACUGUUACUGCGAAAACAUGACCAUCUCAUAGAUAAGAGCUGUUAGAGGGACCGUGAGAGCAUAGUAAAAACGUCGCAGUUAGUAUAUGCUAUAAUUGUGAGUACACAGUGAACGAUUAAAUAAAGAUAUAUUGUCAGUUCUUCCUCCAAUCAUAUCAACCCAACCCAUGCAAAUGAAAUAUAAAUACAUUCCAAGACAUUCAAUCAAUAUAUCAUUUACUUUUUAUCUCAUAACCAAUCAAUGACAAUCAUGAAUAAAUUAGGCAUCCAAAUUUUCCAACAAUUUAGGCAUUCGGAUCAUUCAAUCAGGUUUUCAUAAAAAUACAUGUACAUUAUUCACUAUUUAGGCAAUCAAUCAAGAGUAAUUCAAUUAAUAAAUUCAAUCAUCCAUAUAUUUCACUGUUCUAUUCUUAAUCCAGGAUCUAAUUGCAUAAUCUAGUUCUCUAAAUGCCAUUAAAAACCUAAUCAUGGACUGAUUUGAACAAAAUAAUAAAGAAUAUGUAAAAACUGUAAUUUUGAGUUUCAGGUGCCACACUUCUGAUGUCCCAUACGAUGGUCCUCACAUCCAAGUAUGAUCCGAAUUACCUACAGGGGUCUUUCUUUUGACAAAAUGCAAGAAUUAAUGAUUGAUUUCAAGAUUUAGGGGGUUUUUCAAUAAGAUCGUAAAAGAUCUGUAACAUAUGAAAGAUCUAACGAAAAUAAUGAUUUUCCAGAAUUGAUGAGAUCUAGCUAUUGAGAAAUGAGAAAAAAUUACCGAUCUUGUAGAAAUUUAAAAAUUGAUGGCGUGAAAUUCAACGAUUGAUGAUAAAUGAUUCGAUUUGGACUUGAUUGCUAAGUUAAGAUUCAAGAACUAAAUUUCUAGCAAAAACUUUGAGAGAAUUUUGCAAAACAGGGUUUGUAGAGAAAAUUGAGAAGAAAUACGGAGAAUGGGGGUUUCAAUUUGGGUUAGAAUCAAAUAGGAAAUCCUAAUUGUGCUAGGAAAUGGUUUAUUAGUUGGACUUUGGGAAAAAAAAUAAGGGUUGUUUGAAAACCAACCUUUUUUGGCCGAAAUUAAGGAAAAAUUAAAGGAAAAUUGAUAAGAAAUAGGGAGAAUGGGGGUUUCAAUUUGGGUUAGAAUCAAAUAGGAAAUCCUAUUUGUGCUAGGGAGCGGUUUAUUAGUUGCACUUUGGAAAAAAAUAAGGGUUGUUUGACAAUUAACCCUUUUGGCCGGAAUCAAUGAAAAAUUAAGGGAAAAUUGAGAAGAAAUAGGGAGAAUGGGGGUUUCAGUUUGGGUUAGAAUCAAAUAGGAAACUUUAAGAGAAUUUUGCAAAAGAGGGUUUGUAAAGAAAAUUGAGAAGAAAUAGGGAGAAUAGGGGUUUCAAUUUGGGUUAGAAUCAAAUAGGAAAUCCCAAUUGUACUAGGGAGUGGUUUAUUAGUUGGACUUUGGAAAAACAAUAAGGGUUGUUGGAAAUGAAACCAAUGUGAAUUAAACCUCUAAUCUACUCAAGGGGAUGAAAUAAAUGAAACUUAACUAUUGGACUAAUAUCCAUUCUAUAGUCAUAUUUUACCACAAAUAACACAUAAGCUACUUUAACCUUAGUUCCUUAAUUGCAGAAAAAUAAAAGAAAAAAUUGAAAAAAAGUGGGAUUUGAACAUUGAUUCUCAUAGCUUACUUCUAAGCUCUUAAUCACUAAGACUAAGACUAAAUUCAUGAUAAUUCCUAAAAGAAUUUGCCCUUAUAAUUUUGGAGUGUUACAUUACUUGUCACUUUUAAUAAUUUAUAAUAAGAUUUAAAAAUAAUAUCAAUCCAAUAAACUAAUUUCCAUCAACUAAUUAUUUGUACUAUAAAAUGGCAAUAACAUUGUACCUCUUUAUUAAUUCAAUUAUUUAAAUCUAUAUAUAUUUUAAAAAAUAUAAGAUAUUCAAUUAAAAGUAAAAAAAAAAUUGAUCAAUAAUAAUUAGAGUACGUAAGAGUUUUAAAUAUAAUUUUACAUUUCGAAAUAAAUAUAAAAUUAUUUCAAUAGGGGAAUAUUUAUAUUAUUAUAACUUAAAUAAAAUAAUUUAUUUUGUGACUAUUAAAGUAUUGUUUUAAUAAAAAUAUUAAAUCGAUUAUUAUUAAUUAUGUAUAGAAUACUUCCAGUGCAAACACGUGUAAGUUAAAGACAAAUAUGUAUAAGAGUAUGAACAUAACAGAACUAACAAAAACAUCUUUUAUUAUUAAUUAAUAUUAGAAUUUUUUUUAACAUUACUCUUCUUAUCAUAUUUACUUUUCUUGAUACAUUGCUUAAAAUUACUCAUAGCCUCUCCCGAACCUAUAUCCUCAUGUACUAGCAACAAUACUGAUACCAAUCGAAUUAAGAUUCAAUCUGUAUAAUUAUUAUUAUUGAACUUUACAUACGAGAAAAAUACUUUAUUGGUAUUUCAAUUAAAUACCAAUAAAAUUAAGACAACUAGUAUCCAACAUGUAAGCAUUUUCUUUUAAGUAAUAUCUAAUUUAAAAGAAAUCAAUUUUCUUUAUUUUUUUUAAAGAAUAAAAAAAUUCAAAUUUCAGUGUUCUUUUAUUGAGAUUUUUACGGGUUAAAAUUUAUUAAUAUAACAUUUUAAUUAUAAAAAUAAUUAAUAUAUUAUAAAUAUAUCCAACCAUUUGAAUUGUUUAUUAAAUUAAUUACAUGAAAUUAAAAAAUAAGCGCAUAAAAUCGCAUUCGAGGCUCGUGACUAGAUCUAUUCAUGGGUCGCGUUACUUGUUUAGGCCCGAAGGCUUGCUUAAAAUUUGAGAGGGUUUUGGAAAAAAUAUUAAGCCCAAAAAAUAAAUUUGGUAAAAAAUUAUGCACGUUUAAAUAUAAAUCGAGCUCGGGUUUAAACAUUAAAAGCCUAACUUUGACCUGAUCUAAUUUUAAGUUCAUAAUACUUUAUAUUAUGUUAUUUUUUAUAUAUUAUAUAAUUUAUAACAAAUAAAAAAUAAAUCUAUACUAAAUAUAUAAUACUACUCUAAUGUAAACAGUAAAAUCACUAUAUAAAAAAUUCAAUAAAUUCAAUAUUAUAAAUAUUUUUAAAAAAUUUUAAAAAUUAAUAUGGGCGGACCUAAAAUUGGCUUGAGUUAAUCUUUUGUAAAUAUAGGUGAGUUUGAGCAAACAAAAAUUCAUAUUUCGGAUCGGGUCGGACUUAUACAAACAUAAAAUAUGUUAACAUAAUGUUUAAACCCGGUUCAAAGUCGAUCCAACUCAAUCCAUGAAUACUUCUAUUCGUGAAGAAUACUUAUCGCAAGAGGGACAGAAGCUUUAUCCCCUUAACUCAUAUCAUUUUACCCUUCCAAAAAAUAUUAACUCCUAACAGAAAAAUUAUAUACACAUAUAUAUUAUAUAUGGAUUGUGGAAGCAAUAGCAUUGGUGUUGGUCUGCGGCUGGGCUUCCAUUCUCAUAUUAGAAUUUAGAAUGAAAACCCAACAACUUUUAAACGACAAAAUGAAACUCCCUGCCUAAUUGUUUUGUUUUCUUCUAAUACGAUGCGGCAAAUCCCCUUGUAUAUUUGUCUUCUUCUUUGCAUGUUCCAUAAAUUUGUGCAUUAUUUUGCAUUUGCCUCACAUUAGUUAAGACUUUUCUGAUCAUUUCAAGCAUCUUUGUUUUUUUCUAAUUAGGCUGUCAUCUAUUCUAUUGGUCAUGUUGAUAACCCAACAAAAAACCACGAGAAAUACUACUCUUGUUGUUAGAAUAACGUCAACAUACUUUGUCUUUAUAUAUACAUGUUAAGUUGUUUAAAUAAAUUAACCCUAAUAUUUGUUUUCUCCUCUUUGAAACUUAGUAUCGAGUGUUUGAAUCAUAGAAAUUGCGAAUGUGUGUGUGAGUGAUUUACCUGUACCAAUCUAGCAUCGACUUUAUAUACAAUAAGCCUUUCUUUAUGUAAUCCAAAGGUUGAAGCUUGGGCUGGCCUCCUUUUUGGUUGGUAGAUCAGCCAGCAUCAAAUUUCUGAUCCACUUCAAAUUUCACAAUAAAUAUAGUUUUCUGUAAAUGAAUCAGAAGCAGUACGAGGAAUUAAAAAGAAAAAAAGAAAUGUCUGAAAUCUAAAGCACAAGGGUGGUUGAGACAAUGAAUGAAGGAAGGCAGUUCCCCACACUCUACUUUGUGGCUACACUUCCGUUUGUGAGUUUGUGGUUUUAACAGCACCCAACAUUUUGGGUCAUUCCUUGGCCGUUAGCUUCCGCCCGAAUCUACUCAAACCCUG